CGGUGGCAAUAACUGUAAGAGACAGCGACAGCAUUUUCUAGUUAUAUUUAUACAAACUACUUUACUUUCUUUGAUCAAUGAGGGUUUGAAGGUCAGUUUCGAUGGAGUCUAACUUUGUUCUCCAUGAAAUCUUGAAACUUUAAUAGCAAAUCCAAUCCGCCUCGAAUCUAAAGUGAAAAGAUUUGGCUCCGGAAAGCUGGGAUUGAAGAAUUGUUUGGACAGAUAAGAUAAUCUCACAAGUUCCUGCUUGCAUCCUGAGUUUUUCACACAUUUCGUUGCCAAGCCACUUCCCAUGUGUGAAAAAACCAUUCAUUGUCUUCCUCUGCUUGGGACAACAAAAGCAUAUUUUUCUUGAGAUGUGAAAUGCAAUUGCAAGAUCAGUUAGGGCUUAACUUGUUGAAGUCGGCAAAGGAAGUGGUCCAUGUUUGGUGACUUUUCUUUACUUAGUUUAAAUGAUUUCAGCCGACCUUGAGGUGGAUUGUUGAGCUUUUAUUUUAUUUUAUUUAUUUAUUUUCUUUUCUCCUUGUCACAAGUAACAGGAAAACCAAGUUUGAAGGCAUUGUUACAAUUGGACGUUUGUCAACAUUGUGUGCGUGUGUUUUAUUUUUGGAUUGACAAUUUUAUAGGUUAACAAACAGAUGGCAUUUGUUUUGAAUUUAACAUGAAAUAUGAUUAAAGCGUUCUUAGUUUGUUGAACAAUUCAUGAGUUUUGUCAUUUUUAAUACUUGUUUAAAAAGGGUAUCAUAUUUGGUUUAACAUGAGUGGACAAUAUAUAUAUGUUUUCUUGUUUCUGUUCCAAGGAAGGAGCUGUCUGAAUUGUUACUCGUACCCCCUUUGUUCUUGAACAAGGUGGUUUUAUACCCUCUGGGAUAAUCGAAGUGAUUAUUGGGAUGUUAAGAAAUUGAUGUCAUUUUGUGAAGAGACACAUUCAUUUGAUUGAAAGAUUCAACAAACACACACACAAAAACACACUGUUGAACUUUUUUCUUUGUCCUUAUAUUAUGGAUUCGGCAUAUACUGUA